GAUGAACGCUGGCGGCGUGCCUAACACAUGCAAGUCGAGCGAACAGACGAGGAGUUUGCUCCUCUGUCGUUUGCGGCGGUCGGGUGAGUCACUUGUGGAUAACCUACCUAUCAGACUGGGAUAUUCACGGGAAAUCGGAGCUUAUACCGGAUAAUAUAUUGACUCGCAUGGUUCAAUAGUGAGAGACGGUUUUGGUGUCAUUUAUAGCUGGAUCCGCGCCGCAUUAGCUAGUUGGUAGGGUAAAGGCUUACCAAGGCUACGAUGCGUAGCCGACCUGAGAGAGUGGUCGGCCACACUGGAACUGAGACACGGUCCAGACUCCUACGGGAGGCAGCAGUAGGGAAUCUUCCGCAAUGGGCGAAAGCCUGACGGAGCAACGCCGCGUGAGUGAUGAAGGUCUUCGGAUCGUAAAACUCUGUUAUUAGGGAAGAACAAAUGUGUAAGUAACUAUGCACGUCUUGACGGUACCGGAUCAGAAAGCCACGGCUAACUACGUG
rnacentral:rRNA from 1 species